UGCCUUCUUGCUUGUCAGUUCCAUUACGUCAGGCGCGGUGUUAGGUUUCAUCGGGGCAGAAGUCUUUGCUGCAUCAUCAGAUUGUAUUCUGGAGACAACACAGUACAGAGCUGGGAUAUCUUAUUAGUUCCAAUGACUAUACUGACCGCUGUUGAACUGAACUUCAAACCGCAUGUUUUAUAAUAUUUUUUCUACUGUCCUUUUGACAGUAGAAAAAGGUAAUAAAAAAACUUACCUAAAAGCAGAUGGUCUCCUCCGGAGAGGAUAUGUAAGCGUAGUGUAUGAAUGUAGGCCACAGACUUCCUCUUCUUCCUGCCUCAAACAAGCAACCCAGCACAUGUUUGUGGCUUUUCUUAAUAAUAAUAUUUAACAGAAAGAAAAUAUUAUCCGCGUAAGUAGGUUCCCCCACAGACGGUGUGCUUUCCUAUAAGAAGUCAAAAAGAGUCAGCUUCUCAGUGCUGAAGACCCUUUUAUAAAUCAGAUGGAGGUGACUCAUUGACUGUAAUUUCCCACCCGUUCUCUUUCUUCUCGUAAGAGAGAGA